rnacentral:rRNA from 1 species
GAGUUUGAUCCUGGCUCAGGACGAACGCUGGCGGCACGCCUAACACAUGCAAGUCGAACGGAGAUAUGAAGAUUUAUCGGAAUAUCUUAGUGGCGGACGGGUGAGUAACACGUGAGCAACCUGCCUUUGAGAGUGGAAUAGCUUCUGGAAACGGAUGGUAAUGCCUCAUAACAUACAAGAAUCGCAUGGUUUUUGUAUCAAAGAUUUAUCGCUCAAAGAUGGGCUCGCGUCUGAUUAGAUAGUUGGUGGGGUAACGGCUCACCAAGUCGACGAUCAGUAGCCGGACUGAGAGGUUGAACGGCCACAUUGGGACUGAGACACGGCCCAGACUCCUACGGGAGGCAGCAGUGGGGAAUAUUGCACAAUGGGGGAAACCCUGAUGCAGCGAUGCCGCGUGGAGGAAGAAGGUUUUCGGAUUGUAAACUCCUGUCUUAAAGGACGAAAAUGACGGUACUUUAGGAGGAAGCUCCGGCUAACUACGUGCCAGCAGCCGCGGUAAUACGUAGGGAGCGAGCGUUGUCCGGAAUUACUGGGUGUAAAGGGAGCGUAGGCGGGAUUUUAAGUCAGAUGUGAAAUACGUGGGCUCAACCUACGGGCUGCAUUUGAAACUGAAAUUCUUGAGUGAAGUAGAGGCAAGCGGAAUUCCUGGUGUAGCGGUGAAAUGC